UACAGCCAUAUCACGUUGAAACAUUGGUUCCCAUACGAUCGCCGUAGUUAAGCAACGUCGAGCUUGAUCAGUACUUAGAUAGGUGACCGCUUGGGAAUACUAUGUACUGUA